GGUGAAAGAGGCUGCGUGUACACAGAAAAACGUGACUGGCUUUGGCUGAAUGUAGCUGUAUCAACAGUGCUAUCAAAAUGUGCAGCUGUAUGCAUGUGUGGUGAGUGAAAAGCAGGAUAUAGAGAUCAACUGUGUGUAUUUCUCUGUCCGCGGCUGCGUCGCACCAUCUCCUGUCUGGCCCCGAUGCUGCCCAGUAUGGCCUCCUCCAGCUUGGCCUUCAUGUCUUUGGAUUUCUUAAAGGUCAGGCUGUUCAUUCGUUCAAACGCCUUCUUCCCCUGCAUGGUGAACACAACAUGGGCCUUGUAUCCAUGAGGCAGAGGGUGGGUGAAAGGACAGAGAGCACACAGCGGGGAAAGUUAUUUGCAGCGCAGCACAGCACCCAGCAAGCAAAGCAGCAGGAGACGCAGAGGUAGAGGAGAUCCAGCAGGCGGUUUAGCUGAGACACCGACAGGUCCGUGAACCACUUCUGUAACACCAGUUCGUCAGCGUUCUUCAGCACCCACAGUAGGCAGAUGAGCAGGCUGCGACUCGACUCGGCCGAGAAGCUCCCGUGCUGACGACUCGCCUGGAGAAAUGGACCAGGAGGUGUCAAGAGGAACAUGAGAGAGAAGAGAUAUGAUAAGAUACAACAGCGUCAGGGAUUUACCUGCGAGUUGAGCAAGAAGCUGCUUGGUCGGGACAUUGGAGAGGCAGUGGAGGUGCCUGCUAUUGCCAUGGCGACAGUCUGGCUGAUCAUGCUGUUACCCUCUCCCUCUGCCUCUUCCCCACUGCUGCCCACCGCUGC